rnacentral:rRNA from 1 species
GACGAACGCUGGCGGCGUGCUUAACACAUGCAAGUCGAACGAUGAACCGGGUGCUUGCACUUGGGGAUUAGUGGCGAACGGGUGAGUAACACGUGAGUAACCUGCCCUGGACUCUGGGAUAACCCCGAGAAAUCGGAGCUAAUACCGGAUAGGACCGUUCCCCGCAUGGGGUUUGGUGGAAAGUUUUUCGGUCUGGGAUGGACUCGCGGCCUAUCAGCUUGUUGGUGAGGUAAUGGCUCACCAAGGCGUCGACGGGUAGCCGGCCUGAGAGGGUGACCGGCCACACUGGGACUGAGACACGGCCCAGACUCCUACGGGAGGCAGCAGUGGGGAAUAUUGCACAAUGGGCGCAAGCCUGAUGCAGCAACGCCGCGUGCGGGAUGACGGCCUUCGGGUUGUAAACCGCUUUUAGUAGGGAAGAAGGGCUUCGGCUUGACGGUACCUGCAGAAAAAGGACCGGCUAACUACGUGCCAGCAGCCGCCGUAACAC